GCAUAUCAAAAAGCGGAGGAAAAGAAACUAACAAGGAUUCCCCUAGUAACGGCGAGUGAAGCGGGAAGAGCUCAAAUUUGUAAUCUGGCCCUUUCAGGGUCCGAGUUGUAAUCUCGAGAAGUGUUUUCCGCGCCGGACUGCAUACAAGUCUGUUGGAAUACAGCGUCAUAGUGGUGAGAGCCCCGUAACUGAUGCAGAUGCCCGGUGCUUUGUGAUACACUUUCGAAGAGUCGAGUUGUUUGGGAAUGCAGCUCAAAUUGGGUGGUAAAUUCCAUCUAAAGCUAAAUAUUGGCGAGAGACCGAUAGCGAACAAGUACCGUGAGGGAAAGAUGAAAAGCACUUUGGAAAGAGAGUUAACAGUACGUGAAAUUGUUGGAAGGGAAACGCUUGAAGUCAGACUUGCUAUUCGGAAUUCAGCCGCAAGGUGUACUUUUCGAUUUGCAGGCCAGCAUCAGUUUUUGGGGGUGGAAAAGGGUGGAGAGAAGGUAGCAACCUCGGUUGUGUUAUAGCUCUUUACUGGAUUCAUCUUUGGGGACUGAGGAUCGCAGUGCGCAAUUCAUUUUGCAAACC
rnacentral:rRNA from 1 species